GGGUACAUAGCGCAGUGGUAGCGCGCAUGCUUUGCAAUCGCUCGUAUGAGCGAACGUGUAUGAGGUCCAGGGUUCAAUCCCCUGUGUAUCCA